AUUGAACGCUGGCGGUAUGCUUAACACAUGCAAGUCGAACGAUGAGAAGGAGCUUGCUCUUUCGAUUAGUGGCGGACGGGUGCGUAACGCGUAGGAAUCUACCUAUUAGUGGGGGACAACUUAGGGAAACUUAAGCUAAUACCGCAUACGCCCUACGGGGGCAAGAAGGGGAUCGCAAGACCUUUUGCUAAUAGAUGAGCCUGCGUAGGAUUAGCUAGUUGGUGGGGUAAAAGCUAACCAAGGCGACGAUCCUUAACUGGUUUGAGAGAAUGAUCAGUCACACUGGAACUGAGGCACGGUCCAGACUCCUACGGGAGGCAGCAGUAGGGAAUAUUGGACAAUGGGCGAAAGCCUGAUCCAGCAAUACCGCGUGUGUGAAGAAGGCCUUAGGGUUGUAAAGCACUUUCAAUUGGAAGGAAAACCUCGAAGCUAAUACCUUCGGGUUUGACAUUACCUUUAGAAGAAGCACCGGCUAACUCCGUGCCAGCCGCCGCAGUAA
rnacentral:rRNA from 1 species